AUAGGAGAGAACAGGACACACCGUGCGGAUGACUUGUACACGCCACAUACAUUUUGCACCCUGGAUGUUACUGCGACGGUCCUGCAGACAUUGCAGCUACCAGGGUUUUAUUUGACCGCUGCAAAAAUGACAAUACACUUGCUUGGUCCUCGAAACACGCAAGUUUUCACUGACGAAGAAUUCAAUGACAUGAAGGAGACCUUUUCG